UACGAAGGGGGCUAGCGUUGCUCGGAAUCACUGGGCGUAAAGCGCACGUAGGCGGAUUGCUAAGUCAGGGGUGAAAUCCUGGAGCUCAACUCCAGAACUGCCCUUGAUACUGGCGGUCUCGAGUCCGGGAGAGGUGAGUGGAACUGCGAGUGUAGAGGUGAAAUUCGUAGAUAUUCGCAAGAACACCAGUGGCGAAGGCGGCUCACUGGCCCGGUACUGACGCUGAGGUGCGAAAGCAUGGGGAGCGAACAGG
rnacentral:rRNA from 1 species